UAAAAAUGUGGUACCAUUUGUUGGUACUAAUUAAUCAUCCUACCUUUGUGGAAUUGUUUGUAAGAAUUUUUUUAAAUGGGUCUUUCCCUGAGUUGGAUUGUAGUAAAAUACAAAAAGACUUAGGGGAAUGACUUUUUUAAAAGACUUUUUUUUAAAUUAAAACUUUUUGUAUUCAUUUGUCUAAAAUUUAUUUUUAUAAUAUAAAAACAGCUUUUGACAAUGGAUCUCUUGGUUCUCGCAACGAUGAAGAACGCAGCAAAAUGCGAUAAGUAGUGUGAAUUGCAGAAUACGUGAAUCAUCGAAUCUUCGAACGCAUAUUGCACUUUUUUAGUUUACUAAAAAAGUAUGUCUGUUGAGUAUCAGUAAAAUAUUCUCACAAACAUGUAUUGUUUGUGGUUAUGAGUGUUUUACAACGAUAAACAAGUUGUUCACUUUAAAUUCUUUUUGUAAGUUUACCAAUUCAUAAAUUAAAAUUGGAUAAAAUUUUCCUUUAACGAGGAAUAACCUAAACAAUUUAAAUUUUUGGUUAUAAAUCCAUCAAGGAAUCUAUACAUAAAUAACUUGAUCUCAAUCAGAUAAGAGUACCCGCUGAACUUAGCAUAUCAAUAAGCGGAGGAAAAGAAACUAACAAGGAUCCCUUAGUAACGGCGAGUGAAGCGGGAAGAGCUCAAAUUUGAAAUCUUCAAGGUUUGACCUUGACGAAUUGUAGUUUAUAGAAGUGUUUUCUGUUGGAGUUUUGGUAAAAGUUCUUUGGAAUAGGUCAUCAUAGAGGGUGAGAAUCCGUAUUUGACCAUGACUUUCCAGCUGUGUGAUACACUUUCAAAGAGUCGGAUUGUUUGGGAAUGCAGUCCAAAAUGGGUGGUAAAUUUCAUCUAAAGCUAAAUAUUGGCGAGAGACCGAUAGCGAACAAGUACCGUGAGGGAAAGAUGAAAAGAACUUUGAAAAGAGAGUUAAACAGUACGUGAAAUUGUCAAAAGGAAGCGUUUGACACCAGUGUUGUUUUCUCGAAAAUCAAUUUAAUGAGUUCUUGUUUUUAAGUUAUUGUGACUUUAUCAGCGCAUUUCUUAUUUUACUUGGCUCAUUGAAUGCACUUUUCGUUUAACAAGUCAACAUCAAUUUCUUUGGUGGUAAAAGUUUAAAGGAAGGUGGCUUGGACUUCGGUUCAAGUGUUAUAGCCUUUUUCUAUGCCAUCGGAGAGAUUGAGGUCUGCAGCGUAGAUCCUUCGGGUUAGAUACUUUGUGCUAAGUUAUAGUUUUUAUAGACAACUUGUUGACUAUAAUAACCCUGUAUUUACUCGCUAGGCUUAUUUACCUACGCUUAGGAUGUUGAG
rnacentral:misc_RNA from 1 species